AUGGUCGUCUGCAAAUGCCGCAAGGCGACGAGGGUUUAUUGCUUCGUCCACCAGGUUCCGGUCUGCGGCGAGUGCAUCUGCUUCCCAGAACAUCAAUUAUGCGUGGUAAAAAACUAUGCUGAAUGGGUUGUUAAUUCUGAUUAUGACUGGCCACAACACUGCUCUUUGUGUAAUUUGGUUCUAGAAGCUGCAAGCGAAGAAACUACACGAUUGGGUUGCCUCCAUGUGAUGCACACAAAAUGCUUGAUAUCACAUGUCCAAAGUUUUCCGGCACAAACAGCACCAGCAGGAUUUGUCUGCCCCUCAUGUUCAAUUCCUAUAUGGCCUCCUUCGAGUAUUAAAGAUACAGGCUCCCGCCUCCAUGCUAAACUGAAGGAAGCAGUAGUCCAGACUGGUCUGGAGAAGAAUGUAUUUGGGAAUCAUUUUGUGACAAUGCCUAAAGCUGAUGCCCGCACACCCCCUGCAUUUGCUUCAGACCCCCUUAAGCGUCUAUCAUAUUCUGGUGAAUCUACUGAUGCAAACAUGCUUAACUCUUCGAAAGAUGCAACUUUAUCAUCAGCGGUACUCUCCCAGGGGGAUACAUAUCCUGCUGGGAUGUACUCUUCUGGGACUCUUAGUCAUGUGGAACCAGAAAUAGUUGAAAUAGAUGGUCCUAGUACCAUAGCAACAAAGUUCCCAGAGCAGGAGCCCAAUUUCAUCAGAAGUCCAAGCCCGCACGGGCCUAGUGCCACGACAAGAAAAGGUGCUAACUAUGUUGAGAGACAAAAUUCAGAGAUGUCUUAUUAUGCUGAUGAUGAAGAUGCAAACCGCAAAAAGUACACUAAAAGGGGUACAUACCGUCACAAAUUUUUAAGGAUGCUGCUACCUUUUUGGUCUAGUGCACUGCCAACAUUACCAGUUACAGCACCCCCUAAAAAGGAAAAUGAUGCUCCAGAAGGCCGGUCACGACAUCAGAGGACAUCCCGAAUCGAUCCCACAAAGAUCUUACUUGCAAUGGCAAUCAUGGCAUGUAUAGCAACGAUGGGAAUUCUCUACUACCGAUUGUCACAGCGCAGUCUUUCUGAAAACUUUGCCGAUGAUGAGGCUCAGUAG
rnacentral:rRNA from 1 species